GGCGUAGGCGGUCCUUCAAGUCGGAUGUGAAAUCUCCCGGCUCAACCGGGAGGGGCCAUUCGAAACUGCUGGGCUGGAGGGUAGCAGAGGAAAGCGGAAUUCCCGGUGUAGUGGUGAAAUGCGUAGAUAUCGGGAGGAACACCAGUGGCGAAGGCGGCUUUCUAGGCUAUUUCUGACGCUGAGGCCCGAAAGUGUGGGGAGCGAACA
rnacentral:rRNA from 1 species